rnacentral:rRNA from 1 species
CAGCCGCCACGGGAAUACGGAGGGUGCAAGCGUUAAUCGGAAUUACUGGGCGUAAAGCAUGCGUAGGCGGUUCGUUAAGUCUGUUGUGAAAGCCCCGGGCUCAACCUGGGAAUGGCAAUGGAUACUGGCGAGCUAGAGUGUGUCAGAGGAUGGUGGAAUUCCCGGUGUAGCGGUGAAAUGCGUAGAGAUCGGGAGGAACAUCAGUGGCGAAGGCGGCCAUCUGGGACAACACUGACGCUGAGGCACGAAAGCGUGGGGAGCAAACAGGAUUAGAUACCCGCGUAGUCCCUGUCUCUUAUAC